GGCUCAAACUCUGGAGAGCGAUUGCUGCCGCAAUCCACCGAAGGGGCGCACGGGACACUUCCCGUUAUCUCUCAGGUACCAAGGACAGAGGGGUUUGC
rnacentral:ncRNA from 2 species